rnacentral:rRNA from 1 species
UUGACGGGCCCGCACAAGCAGCGGAGCGUGUGGUUAAUUCGAUGCUACACGAGAACCUUACCAGGGUUUGACAUGCAAGUGGUAGGAAGCCGAAAGGCGACCGACCCUUCGGGGAGCUUGCACAGGUGCUGCAUGGCUGUCGUCAGCUCGUGUCGUGAGAUGUUCGGUUAAGUCCGCUAACGAGCGCAACCCUCGCUGUGUGUUACAAGUGUCACACGGUACUGCCGGUCUUAAGCCGGAGGAAGGUGGGGAUGACGUCAAGUCAGCAUGGCCUUUAUGUCCUGGGCUACACACACGCUACAAUGGCCAACACAAUAGGUUGCUAAGCCGCGAGGUGGAGCCAAUCCUCAAAGUUGGUCUCAGUUCAGAUUGCAGGCUGCAACCCGCCUGCAUGAAGAUGGAGUUGCUAGUAACCGCAGGUCAGCUAUACUGCGGUGAAUACGUUCCCGGGGCUU